rnacentral:rRNA from 1 species
UUAUGGCUCAGGAUGAACGCUAGCUACAGGCUUAACACAUGCAAGUCGAGGGGCAGCAGGACGAUAGCUUGCUAUUGUCGCUGGCGACCGGCGCACGGGUGAGUAACGCGUAUCCAACCUUCCCCUUAGUAGAGGAUAGCCCGGCGAAAGUCGGAUUAAUACUCUAUGUUGUAUUUUGAGGACAUCUGACGAAUACCAAAGAUUCAUCGCUAAGGGAUGGGGAUGCGUCUGAUUAGCUUGUUGGCGGGGUAACGGCCCACCAAGGCGACGAUCAGUAGGGGUUCUGAGAGGAAGGUCCCCCACAUUGGUACUGAGACACGGACCAAACUCCUACGGGAGGCAGCAGUGAGGAAUAUUGGUCAAUGGGCGAGAGCCUGAACCAGCCAAGUAGCGUGCAGGACGAACCUGCCCUAUGGGUUGUAAACUGCUUUUAUCAGGGAAUAAAGUGCGGCACGUGUGCUGUUUUGUAUGUACCUGAUGAAUAAGGACCGGCUAAUUCCGUGCCAGCCGCAGC